rnacentral:rRNA from 1 species
GACGAACGCUGGCGGCGUGCUUAACACAUGCAAGUCGAACGAAGUGGCGAACGGGUGAGUAACGCGUAAUCAACCUGCCCUUCAGAGGGGGACAACAGUUGGAAACGACUGCUACUACCGCAUACUGAAGGAGGGGAUUGCGUGGGAUUAGCUAGUUGGGGGGGUAACGGCCCACCAAGGCGAUGAUCAGUAGGCGGUCUGGGAGGAUGAACCGCCAAAUCGGGACUGAGACACGGCCCAGACUCCUACGGGAGGGAGCAGUGGGGAAUCUUCCGAAAUGGACGAAAGGCCGACGGAGCCACGCCGGGGGAGUGAUGAAGGCCUUCGGGGUGGAAAGCUCUGUUAAGCGGGAAGCGGUACCGGAAUAGAAAGCAACGGCUAACUACGUGCCAGCAGCCGCGGUAAUUC